AUGGAAUUCUGGGUAGUGGGAACCAUGGAAUUCUGGGAAGAGGAGCCAUGGAAUUCUGGGUGGUGGGAGCCAUGGAAUUCUAGCUGUGCAUUGUGCUGGACCCUGAGGUCAGUGUGGUGGAAGAAAGUAGAUAUGGAGCCAUGGAUUUAUGGAUUUGUUGUUUCCUGAAGUGCAGGUUUCCCAAAGCACCAGGGAUGCUCAGGGAUGGAAAACAAGGGAUCCUUCAGCCCAAAUCUUCUGAGCUGUUUGCUGGAGACCUCACCAUGGCCUGAUGGCAGUGGCAGGAUGGAGUGGCACUAAAAAUUCCUUUUUUGAUAGCAUAGAAUGGCUCUAAAAAAACUCUUUUGUGACUGGAUGGAGUGGCCCAAAAAAAACCACCCUUUUUUAACUGGAUUGAAUGGCCCC